rnacentral:lncRNA from 1 species
CGCAAACAAGAUUCUCGAAAAGCAUUCUCUGGCAACUUACGGGGUAGAGACUUAGACCAUAGAGACCGAGGCCUCAGUCAAAGAUCUGUUUACUCCCGCCUUCAAGUACCUGAAAGGGGUCGCUACCCUCCAUCAGACAAAUCAAGAGACUUAAGCUCCAGAGACCUCAGCUCCAGAGACCUCAGCUCCAGAGACAGAGAACGUGGGAAAUAUGAAGAUCGGCAUGAAGGGAGAGGUGGUUUUCAGGACAAGGAAAGAUCCUCACAGUAUAGCAACCCACCACAACACCAUCAAACACCAUCUAGGAGAUCCUCAAGGGAUCUUUCCCCUCCCCAUCGUGGUAGGGAGGAUAGGAGGCAAGGACCUGCA